GGGUCAGUAGGUUGGUCGUGCCACCGGUACGUACUGGUCUCACUGAUUCCUCCUUCCUGAAGAACCGUAAUGCCAUUAAUUUGGUGUUGCGGGGAAACAGGACUGUUACUUUGAAAAAAUUAGAGUGCUUAAAGCAAGCUAACGCUUGAAUACAUUAGCAUGGAAUAAUGAAAUAGGACGAUCGAUCCUAUUUUGUUGGUUUCUAGGAUUGACGCA
rnacentral:rRNA from 1 species